rnacentral:rRNA from 1 species
GAGUUUGAUCUUGGCUCAGGACGAACGCUGGCGGCGUGCCUAAUACAUGCAAGUCGAGCGAGUCCCUUCGGGGGCUAGCGGCGGACGGGUGAGUAACACGUAGGCAACCUGCCUCUCAGAUCGGGAUAACAUAGGGGAAACUUAUGCUAAUACCGGAUAGGUUUUCGGAUCGCAUGAUCCGAAAAGAAAAGGCGGCUUCGGCUGUCACUGGGAGAUGGGCCUGCGGCGCAUUAGCUAGUUGGUGGGGUAACGGCUACCAAGGCGACGAUGCGUAGCCGACCUGAGAGGGUGACCGGCCACACUGGGACUGAGACACAGCCCAGACUCCUACGGGAGGCAGCAGUAGGGAAUUUUCCACAAUGGACGAAAGUCUGAUGGAGCAACGCCGCGUGAACGAUGAAGGUCUUCGGAUUGUAAAAGUUCUGUUGUCAGGGACGAACAAGUACCGUUCAAACAGGGCGGUACCUUGACGGUACCUGACGAGAAAGCCACGGCUAACUACGUGCCAGCAGCCGCCGU